AGGACGAACAACCCCAGUGGUGGAGGACAGCUCUGGAGCCCUGGAUUCAGCUCCCGCAGUAACUCCGGAGCUCUGCAGGGCCUGGAGGCCCCGGGGGCGG
rnacentral:pre_miRNA from 1 species